rnacentral:rRNA from 1 species
CCUACGGGAGGCAGCAGUGGGGGAUAUUGCACAAUGGGGGAAACCCUGAUGCAGCGACGCCGCGUGGGUGAAGAAGCGCCUCGGCGCGUAAAGCCCUGUCAGCAGGGAAGAAAAUGACGGUACCUGAAGAAGAAGCCCCGGCUAACUACGUGCCAGCAGCCGCGGUAAUACGUAGGGGGCAAGCGUUAUCCGGAUUUACUGGGUGUAAAGGGGGCGCAGACGGCGAUGCAAGCCAGGAGUGAAAGCCCGGGGCCCAACCCCGGGACUGCUCUUGGAACUGCGUGGCUAGAGUGCAGGAGGGGCAGGCGGAAUUCCUGGGGUAGCGGUGAAAUGCGUAGAUAGCAGGAGGAACACCGGUGGCGAAGGCGGCCUGCUGGACUGCAACUGACGUUGAGGCCCGAAAGCGUGGGGAGCAAACAGGAUUAGAUACCCCAGUAGUC